GAAUCAUGGCUCAGGAUGAACGCUAGCGACAGGCCUAACACAUGCAAGUCGAGGGGCAGCGGAGAGGUAGCAAUACCUUUGCCGGCGACCGGCGCACGGGUGAGUAACACGUAUGCAAUCCACCUGUAACAGGGGGAUAACCCGGAGAAAUCCGGACUAAUACCCCAUAAUAUGGGCGCUCCGCAUGGAGAGCCCAUUAAAGAGAGCAAUUUUGGUUACAGACGAGCAUGCGCU
rnacentral:rRNA from 1 species